AAACUGAAGAGUUUGAUCCUGGCUCAGAUUGAACGCUGGCGGCAUGCCUUACACAUGCAAGUCGAACGGCAGCACGGAGCUUGCUCUGGUGGCGAGU
rnacentral:rRNA from 1 species